AUUUAUCCAUUGGAAGUUUCUUCUUUGGUUUAUGCUAGUUGAUCUUUGAACUACACAAAUCAUCAACAAGAAGUUUCUUCUUGUCCUUUUUCAGUUAAACAUGACUGGAUCAGCUUUACUUAACCAUAGGGGCAAUAAAGUUUCCUCGCUUUUGCUACUAAUUAAGGAAACACAUUUAUGUGCUUUUUAUCCUUGAGAUCAUUGUAUUGAAAGUUACAUAUUACUUACUCUCUCGUCUUCAACAGGACCACAAGGGAAUCCACACCAUGCAGUUUGAUAGGAAAGCCUGAAAUCAUCACAACCCCAGGAUCGUCAACAAAGCUUAACAUUUGUAUAAGUGAAAGCAACCAGAGGGAAGAGAGUUUGUCACGCAGCAGCCACCGUCACCUACCUACUACACCUGAAAUGGACGAGUUUUUCUCGGGUGCUGAAGAAGAACAACAAAAGCAAUUCAUUGAGAAGUACAACUUUGAUCCUGUGAACGAACAGCCACUACCAGGACGGUUUGAAUGGACGAAGGUAGAUGAUUAGAAACAGCAAACAAUGGGGGGUUAAUAGUUAAUACAGAAUAUAUUAACAUUUUCCUGCUAAUUAUCGGUUUGAUCUUAUUACCAUCAUCCGUUUUCUUAACUUUUUCAACAUGUAAAGAGCUUAGGAGAGAAAAACCCAUGUAGUGUUUUUAAAAUUGGUGGUGUCUGUAACAUAAGUGGCUGAAAAGGGUAUGUGUAGCACACAACUGAUACCAAUCCUUUUUAAGCUUUAACAGACCACCUUAGUACUAGUACUAAAACCACAAGAGUAAGGUAUUAGAAGUAACCCAAAGUCUAUUAGGGUUUAGCGUUUAGGUUUACUAGAGUUCUUUCUGUUUUAAUGGUCAGUGUUUUCUUUUAGAAAUCGGGUACAGGGGGGGGGACUCUGCUUUCUCUUAUAACUCUUUGUCCUGUAACCAUUUUAAAUAUCUAUCCUUUUAUGUGUAUACAUGUACUGAUCUCAAAACUCUUUCAAUAAAGACUUAUCCCUUCUCUGUC